rnacentral:miRNA from 1 species
UGACAGAAGAUAGUGAGCAC